rnacentral:rRNA from 1 species
UUGACCUCAAAUCAGGUAGGACUACCCGCUGAACUUAAGCAUAUCAAUAAGCGGAGGAAAAGAAACUAACAAGGAUUCCCCUAGUAACUGCGAGUGAAGCGGGAAAAGCUCAAAUUUAAAAUCUGGUAGUCUUCGGCUGCCCGAGUUGUAAUCUAGAGAAGCACUAUCUGCGCUGGACCGUGUACAAGUGUCCUGGAAUGGACCAUCAUAGAGGGUGAGAAUCCCGUCUUUGACACGGACUCCCAGGGCUUUGUGAUGUGCUCUCAAAGAGUCGAGUUGUUUGGGAAUGCAGCUCUAAAUGGGUGGUAAAUUCCAUCUAAAGCUAAAUAUUGGCGAGAGACCGAUAGCGAACAAGUACCGUGAGGGAAAGAUGAAAAGAACUUUGGAAAGAGAGUUAAACAGUACGUGAAAUUGCUGAAAGGGAAACGCUUGAAGUCAGUCGCGUUGGCUGGGGAUCAACCUUGCUUUUUUGCUUGGCUUACUUCCCAGUUGACGGGUCAGCAUCAGUUUUGACCGGUGGAUAAAGGCUAGGGGAAUGUGGCACCCUCGGGUGUGUUAUAGCCCUUGGUCAUAUGCAUUGGUUGGGACUGAGGAACUCAGCACUUGUGCUUAGGAUGCUGGCAUAAUGGCUUUAAGCGACCCGUCUUGAAACACGGACCAAGGAGUCUAACAUGCCCGCGAGUGUUUGGGUGGUAAACCCGAGCGCGU